rnacentral:rRNA from 1 species
AUACCGAGGGUGCAAGCGUUAAUCGGAUUUACUGGGCGUAAAGCGCGCGUAGGCGGCUAAUUAAGUCAAAUGUGAAAUCCCCGAGCUUAACUUGGGAAUUGCAUUCGAUACUGGUUAGCUAGAGUGUGGGAGAGGAUGGUAGAAUUCCAGGUGUAGCGGUGAAAUGCGUAGAGAUCUGGAGGAAUACCGAUGGCGAAGGCAGCCAUCUGGCCUAACACUGACGCUGAGGUGCGAAAGCAUGGGGAGCAAACAGGAUUAGAUACCCGAGUAGUCC